AACGAACGCUGGCGGCGCGUCUUAAGCAUGCAAGUCGAACGGCAAGAUUGGUGCUUGCACCGAUCCUAGAGUGGCGGACCGGUGAGUAACGAGUGGGUGACGUACCCUAAGGAUGGGGAUAGCUGGUAGAAAUAUCAGAUAAUACCGAAUAUCCUUAUUGUUGUUAGAGGACAGUAAGGAAAGGAGCUUUGGCUUCGCCUAAGGAUAGGCCCGCGUACUAUUAGCCAGUUGGUGAGGUAACGGCUCACCAAGGCGACGAUAGUUAUCCGGCCGAAGAGGGUGAACGGACACAUUGGGACUGAGAUACGGCCCAGACUCCUACGGGAGGCAGCAGCUAAGAAUAUUCCGCAAUGGAGGAAACUCUGACGGAGCGACGCCGCGUGGAUGAUGAAGGCCGGAAGGUUGUAAAAUCCUUUUAAGCAAGAAGAAUAAACUUUACAGGGAAUGGUAGAGCGGUGACGGUAUUGCUUGAAUAAGCAACGGCUAAUUACGUGCCAGCAGCAGCCGCAGUAA
rnacentral:rRNA from 1 species